rnacentral:rRNA from 1 species
CCUACGGGAGGCAGCAGUAGGGAAUUUUCGUCAAUGGGCGCAAGCCUGAACGAGCAAUGCCGCGUGAACGAGGAAGGUCUUCGGAUCGUAAAGUUCUGUUGAAGGGGAAAAAGAGCGGAGAGAGGAAAUGGUCUCCGAUUGAUAUUACCCUUCGAGGAAGGCACGGCUAACUACGUGCCAGCAGCCGCGGUAAUACGUAGGUGGGGUGCGUUAUCCGGAUUGAUUGGGCGAAAGGGUUGCGUAGGCGGCUUGCUAGGUGGGGAGUGAAAGGUACCGGCUCAACCGGUACAGGCUCUGGAAACUGGCAGGCUAGAGAGCAGGUGAGGGCGGUGGAACUCCAUGUGUAGCGGUAAAAUGCGUAGAUAUAUGGAAGAACACCAGUGGCGAAGGCGGCCGCCUGGCCUGUUACUGACGCUGAGGCACGAAAGCGUGGGGAGCAAAUAGGAUUAGAUACCCCGGUAGUC